rnacentral:rRNA from 1 species
UACGUAGGGUGCGAGCGUUAAUCGGAAUUACUGGGCGUAAAGCGUGCGCAGGCGGUUGGAAAAGAUAGAUGUGAAAUCCCUGGGCUCAACCUAGGAAUUGCAUUUAUGACUAUCCGACUAGAGUACGGUAGAGGGGAGUGGAAUUCCGCGUGUAGCAGUGAAAUGCGUAGAUAUGCGGAGGAACACCGAUGGCGAAGGCAGCUCCCUGGACCUGUACUGACGCUCAUGCACGAAAGCGUGGGGAGCAAACAGG